AGAGUUUGAUCCUGGCUCAGAUUGAACGCUGGCGGCAGGCCUAACACAUGCAAGUNGAACGGUAGCACAGAGAGCUUGCUCUCGGGUGACGAGUGGCGGACGGGUGAGUAAUGUCUGGGAAACUGCCUGAUGGAGGGGGAUAACUACUGGAAACGGUAGCUAAUACCGCAUAACGUCGCAAGACCAAAGAGGGGGACCUUCGGGCCUCUUGCCAUCAGAUGUGCCCAGAUGGGAUUAGCUAGUAGGUGGGGUAACGGCUUCACCUAGGCGACGAUCCCUAGCUGGUCUGAGAGGAUGACCAGCCACACUGGAACUGAGACACGGUCCAGACUCCUACGGGAGGCAGCAGUGGGGAAUAUUGCACAAUGGGCGCAAGCCUGAUGCAGCCAUGCCGCGUGUAUGAAGAAGGCCUUCGGGUUGUAAAGUACUUUCAGCGGGGAGGAAGGUGUUGCGGUUAAUAACCGCAGCAAUUGACGUUACCCGCAGAAGAAGCACCGGCUAACUCCGUGCCAGCCGCCGCGGUAA
rnacentral:rRNA from 1 species